rnacentral:misc_RNA from 1 species
GAGCAAAGAUACCAGCAGAUAAUAUUCAUAACGAAUAUAAUAAAUACAUGUCCGUUUCACGAGAUUACCGGAUGCCAUGGAUCUGCUCGAUUAUCUCCCACUUGAGUGUUUACCGAUUAAUACUUUUGUUAUUAACACGGCAUCAAUCUACUUUUUUAUAAACCAACAAUGUGAACAGUCACGGCUCUGAUUUCCCACGCAUGGGAAUUUGUCAGCCAGGAAGUGUCAGAAUAUCUCAGCUUUUGAAUCAACUGUGCAGUGAAUCCCAGAACGAAAAUAUCCUGACCCGGGAUGCUUGCUAUGGGUGUUUUUUUCGAGCAACCAAUAAACCAUCCGGGUAUCCAAUGCUUCUGUCAAUGUCUUCGUGCGCUGAGCUUUAUCUUGGCGACAGCAAUUAUGGACACUGCCAAGAAUACUUGAAAAAUGCAGUAGCCAACUCGGAAUUGAAUUCCAGUCCUGCUGUUAUUUAUUGUACAUUUUUGGAAUGUGUCCGGCAAGUCAACAAGGACUCUUUGGAGGCUCUGAUGAGCUUGAGGUACAAGAAAUUUAGGGCAAGUAGAUCUGGUGUACCGUCAAAAAUCAAAUCAGCCACGCGCAUCUCAGUUGGGUUUCACUUUGUACGUAGGGCUGUCUGUUUAAUAACAAUCUAGAUUGUCAUUUCAGGUGUAAUUUAUUUCUCCAGGCGAUUUUUUCAGGUAACUCUCUCGGAUUCAGACCUGCAUUAGAGAGUCCCUUGAUAUGUUUGAUAAUUUUACGGCAAGUGACAUUAAACUUGCCCAGCUGGUGGUAAAUACAACGGCCUGUAUUCUCGCAAAGACUAGGUGUGGAUCAAUGAAUCCGAUUACAGGAG